rnacentral:rRNA from 1 species
CCUACGGGAGGCAGCAGUGAGGAAUAUUGGUCAAUGGGCUUACGCCUGAACCAGCCAAGUCGCGUGAGGGAAGACUGCCCUAUGGGUUGUAAACCUCUUUUGUCAGGGAGCAAUUGGCGCUACGUGUAGCGUUAUCGAGAGUACCUGAAGAAAAAGCAUCGGCUAACUCCGUGCCAGCAGCCGCGGUAAUACGGAGGAUGCGAGCGUUAUCCGGAUUGAUUGGGUUUAAAGGGUGCGUAGGCGGAAUGCCAAGUCAGCGGUAAAAUCGCGGGGCUCAACCUCGCUCCGCCGUUGAUACUGGCGUUCUUGAGUGGGCGAGAAGUAUGCGGAAUGCGUGGUGUAGCGGUGAAAUGCAUAGAUAUCACGCAGAACUCCGAUGGCGAAGGCAGCAUACCGGCGCCCAACUGACGCUGAAGUACGAAAGCGUGGGUAUCGAACAGGAUUAGAUACCCUAGUAGUC